rnacentral:misc_RNA from 1 species
GGAAAGCAUUUCUUCUGGCCGACCUAGCUCUGGCAGAUGACCACAGUGUGAACAGUUCUUCUGGGACAACUGCUCUUACUGCUUUUAUAUUUGGAAGGCUAUUAAUGGUGGCCAAUGCUGGUGAUUGCCGAGCAGUUCUCUGUCGUAAAGGAGAGGCAAUAGAUAUGUCCCAAGACCAUAGGCCUGUUCAUCCAUCAGAACGAAGGCGUGUUGAAGAAUUGGGUGGGUACAUUGAUGAUGGUUAUCUCAAUGGUGUUCUAUCAGUUUCUCGAGCCCUUGGGGAUUGGGACAUGAAAAUCCCUCGAGGUGCUCCUUCACCUCUCACUGCAGAGCCAGAGUUCCAGCAGGUGGUUCUGACAGAGGAUGAUGAGUUUCUUAUAAUUGGUUGUGAUGGGAUUUGGGAUGUUAUGUCAAGUCAGCAUGCUGUCAGCCUUGUCCGUCGUGGGUUGCGGCGACACGAUGAUCCAGAACAGUGUGCUAGGGACCUUGUCAUGGAGGCCUUGCGCCGGAACACAUUUGACAAUCUGACUGUGAUUGUUGUCUGCUUCUCCACCCUUGAUAAUCGGGAGCAGGCAAAGGAGACACAAGUGUUGUAGCCUCUCUCCGGAGGCCUUUUGUAGCUUGAGGAACUUCUUGGAUAGCAGUACCAACCGUUGAAUGUAUAUAGCAUAAUUUUUAAAUAAAAUUCCCUUUUUGGAAGGGGAAUCUGUUUCUGGCUGCUUCAGUUUUACGCUAGAAAAAGCAGCUAGCAUUUUUGUAAGUGCUGAUUUUUCAAACGGCACACCGUGAGUUGGAUGAAUGUAUACAAGUGGUGUGGGUGGAUGGUGGCGUUGGUGCUGAGAUUAAAAUGUUGUACAAUAAUGUGUUCGUCGGGGAUUUGUUUAUUCUAACAAGUCCAGUAUGGUUGUCCAUUUUGACCUUAUUUAUUUUUAAUUGUACCGUUAAUGUAUAUACAGUUUGAAUAAAAAGAUCUUAAUUUUUUUUUUUUAAAAUAAAAAUUAAGAU